rnacentral:tRNA from 1 species
GCCCAGGUGAUGGAAUCGGUAGACAUCUACGCUUGAGGUGCGUAGGGGUUCGUCCCGUGCGGGUUCAAGUCCCGCCCUGGGCA